rnacentral:rRNA from 1 species
UACAGAGGGGGCGAGCGUUGUUCGGAAUUAUUGGGCGUAAAGAGCUCGUAGGCGGCUUGUCACGUCGAUUGUGAAAGCCCGAGGCUUAACCUCGGGUCUGCAGUCGAUACGGGCUAGCUAGAGUGUGGUAGGGGAGAUCGGAAUUCCUGGUGUAGCGGUGAAAUGCGCAGAUAUCAGGAGGAACACCGGUGGCGAAGGCGGAUCUCUGGGCCAUUACUGACGCUGAGGAGCGAAAGCGUGGGGGGCGAACAGG